rnacentral:rRNA from 1 species
UAGUCCACGCCGUAAACGAUGAUUACUCGUUAUUGGCGAUACAAUGUCAGUGACUAAGCGAAAGUGAUAAGUAAUCCACCUGGGGAGUACGAUCGCAAGAUUGAAACUCAAAGGAAUUGACGGGGGCCCGCACAAGCGGUGGAGCAUGUGGUUUAAUUCGAUGAUACGCGAGGAACCUUACCAGGGCUUAAAUGCAGAACGACAGAUUUGGAAACAAGUCCUUCUUCGGACGGACUGCAAGGUGCUGCAUGGUUGUCGUCAGCUCGUGCCGUGAGGUGUCAGGUUAAGUCCUAUAACGAGCGCAACCCCUACUGUUAGUUGCCAGCGAGUAAUGUCGGGGACUCUAGCAGAACUGCCGGCGUAAGCCGCGAGGAAGGUGGGGAUGACGUCAAAUCAUCACGGCCCUUACGUCCUGGGCUACACACGUGCUACAAUGGUGCGGACAAAGAGCAGCCACUUGGUGACAAGGAGCUAAUCUCAAAACCGCAUCUCAGUUCGGAUU